GGGUGCUUGGCCGCAAUGGGCGGCUGGGCAGGUGAACAGCGAAGGUCGGGCCGCCUCG
rnacentral:ncRNA from 2 species